UACCAUGCAGUCACGGGGGCCCAGCAAUGGGUAACCGGCGAACGGGUGCGUAACACGUGAGCAACCUACCUAAGUGAGGGGGAUAGCCGGGCCAACGCCCGGGUAAUACCGCAUACGCUCGAGGAGAGGCAUUUCAUCUCGAGGAAACCUACGGGGCACUAUGAGGGGCUCGCGGCCUAUCAGCUAGUUGGUGAGGUAACGGCUCACCAAGGCGACGACGGGUAGCUGGUCUGAGAGGAUGGCCAGCCACAUUGGGACUGAGAUACGGCCCAGACUCCUACGGGAGGCAGCAGUGGGGAAUCUUGCGCAAUGGCCUAACGGCUGACGCAGCGACGCCGCGUGAGGGAUGACGCUCUUCGGAGUGUAAACCUCUUUUGUCUGAGACGAAUUGUCAGCUUUUGCUGAUUUGACGGUAUCGGGCGAAUAAGCACCGGCUAACUCCGUGCCAGCA
rnacentral:rRNA from 1 species